UGGGGAAUUUUGGACAAUGGGCGAAAGCCUGAUCCAGCAAUGCCGCGUGUGUGAAGAAGGCCUUCGGGUUGUAAAGCACUUUUGUCCGGAAAGAAAUCCUUGGCUCUAAUACAGUCGGGGGAUGACGGUACCGGAAGAAUAAGCACCGGCUAACUACGUGCCAGCAGCCGCGGUAAUACGUAGGGUGCAAGCGUUAAUCGGAAUUACUGGGCGUAAAGCGUGCGCAGGCGGUUUGCUAAGACCGAUGUGAAAUCCCCGGGCUCAACCUGGGAACUGCAUUGGUGACUGGCAGGCUAGAGUAUGGCAGAGGGGGGUUAGAAUUCCACGUGUAGCAGUGAAAUGCGUAGAGAUGUGGAGGAAUACCGAUGGCGAAGGCAGCCCCCUGGGCCAAUACUGACGCUCAUGCACGAAAGCGUGGGGAGCAAACAGGAUUAGAUACCCUGGUAGUCCACGCCCUAAAACGAUGUCAACUAGUUGUUGGGGAUUCAUUUCCUUAGUAACGUAGCUAACGCGUGAAGUUGACCGCCUGGGGAGUACGGUCGCAAGAUUAAAACUU
rnacentral:rRNA from 1 species